rnacentral:rRNA from 1 species
GACGAACGCUGGCGGCGUGCUUAACACAUGCAAGUCGAACGGAAAGGCCCUGCUUUUGUGGGGUGCUCGAGUGGCGAACGGGUGAGUAACACGUGAGUAACCUGCCCUUGACUUUGGGAUAACUUCAGGAAACUGGGGCUAAUACCGGAUAGGAGCUCCUGCUGCAUGGUGGGGGUUGGAAAGUUUCGGCGGUUGGGGAUGGACUCGCGGCUUAUCAGCUUGUUGGUGGGGUAGUGGCUUACCAAGGCUUUGACGGGUAGCCGGCCUGAGAGGGUGACCGGCCACAUUGGGACUGAGAUACGGCCCAGACUCCUACGGGAGGCAGAAGUGGGGAAUAUUGCACAGUGGGCGGAAGCCUGAUGCAGCAACGCCGCGGGCGGGAUGACGGCCUUCGGGUUGUAAACCGCUUUCGCCUGUGACGAAGCGUGAGUGACGGUAAUGGGUAAAGAAGCACCGGCUAACUACGUG